UAUUCGUGAAACUCGGGGAAAGACUAUAUUUCUAUACAAUUUAAAAGAGUAAGAUCAUUUAUACAUUUAUUUUAUAAUAUAAAAAAUAAAGAAAAUAAAAAAUACAUAAUGCAAAAUAUACAUGCAUUAGCUACUUCUGGCAUAUGGCGCUUCAUGAGGUUAUGGUGUUGUAUUUGUCUCCACAAUAAAGUUGACAAGCUCAGUUUCAGAACAUCUGCUUGAAAACAUUGUCGAUUGAAUCGUUUAAAGGGUGUUUUCGUUCUGAGAGAAUUUUUUUUUCAAAAAUGUGAUACAAAAGCAGAACAUUGGAUCAAAUUAAAACAUUUCUGAUCACUUGGGUCAGGGGUCUCCUAACUUUUCAAUUCGCGGGCCGCAUUGCUUCACAUGUAAUGGUGUUCAGGGCCAUUUUUCCGUUGCCGGUAUAUAAUGCGAACGUUUCAAUUUCGUCUUUAUAAGAAAAUACUAGCAUAAUGUACAAAACUCCUAUAGCUUUCUAUUACUUAAGUGUGGUCUACGUCUCUAAAAAGCAACAAUUACAUUAUCUUUAAAAAUAGUCACAAUAAUUAACUAUUUAUUUUAACCUUCACAAAGUUGCCACGGGCCGCAUAAUAGGCUUUUGAGGGCCGCAUGCGGCCUGCGGGCCGUAGUUUGGAAACCCCUGGCUUGGGUAAACGCUGUAGUAGUGGCCCUUUUUACCCACAAUGUUUUGACGUUUAAUGUGUUGUUGCAAUAUGCCUGGUUUUGCUUAUUGAUGUGUCCAUUUUGCCCCGCAUGACAAGUUAGAAUCCCGUGAAACAUCGAAUUUUAUUUUACAGUUUUUGUUGAGAAUCUUAAGAAGUUGGUAUGAAGGUCUUUUAUUAAUUUUAAUUCGUAUAUUCGGUAGAUCAGUACAAUCAUACGAAAACUUAUUUAUGUUUAGUGGUAAAUGGGAAAAUGUAUUGAUUAAACUGCUAAACAUGCUCGUAUUGUCCCACAUGCCCAUAAAGAAUACUCAUCAACAGAGAAAGAGAAAAACCCAUUCCUCAGUCCCGCUCAAGGAAGUGACGUUUCCCGCACUUAGAGUUUUGGCCUCGAUCGGGUCGAGUAACGCCGCACGCGAAAACAUGUUUACUUCCUGUUUUUUUCGUGCCAGUUCGUGCCUUCCCAAAAACAGUCCCCAAUACCUUGAAGAACGCCACCACAAUCAGCUGCCGAUCCCACUAAGUAAGCCCGGAAGGUCACAAAAUAUUGGUUUAAAAAAAGAACCGGCCCUUUGAUACGCGUCCAUCAUACGCUAGACCCAACCCCCUCCGGACUCACGGAAGCACACACUCACAGCCUCCCUUCAUACAGUGUGGCAAACAAACGGCAACAGCGAAGAUACGCGAUGAGCGAUCACGCACUCGGUUCGUGCAGAAAGGGCGGAAACGUUUCGACCCACAAAAUACGGCCCUCGCGCUGGGACUUUGAACGGGUUAGUGCGUAUUAGUGCACAUGUUGAUGGUUGUUGUGACCAAAAACCGGUGGAAAGAUAAUUGUUUACCAGUUUGCAGGAAGAGACUUUCGGGGCAGUGGCGCUUCGAAAAAAAAAGAGCAAAACAACCAAAUCAAGGAUCAUUGGCAUAUCAGAUGAUCAAUCCAGGCAGCGCUUGGCUUCAGUCGUUCUUUCAUGUCCAGUUUUGUUUAUCAACGGUUCAGUCCGGUUUUUUUUCCUUCCCCACUCUCGCAACACCAACCAGUCCACCCCAUCAGGCCUAUCAGCUGAUUAGAAGCAAAUAGCGUCGUUGCAUUGUUUACCUUCCAUGAACCGCCUUCCCAGACCGAACGUGGGCCAGUUUCCCUUCACACCUCUCGUUGGAGGGCGUGUGACUGUUUAGACUGGAUGAUAUGACAGUAUUCGCGCAAGCUCAUCGCCUAUCGCAAAGGGAGAAGGGGAGCGUUUGAGACCACGACUAAGUGUUUCAUACGAACAUGCAAUCUCCAAGCAAGCGAGGAGAGAGAGAGAGAGAACGAGAUAUAGAGCGAGAGAGAGAGAGAGAGAGAGAUAGAGAGAGAGAGAACGAGAAGGCACUCCGCGAUAUAAACACCACACUCACGGGUAUGAUAACCGAUCACGCACCGUCCGGCUGAUGUCUUCAUGUUGACGGAGUUUGGCCAAGUAACCAAGAGAAAAACGGUGACCUUCUAAAGACUAUACCUGGAUCUGUGCCAGUGGCACCUGGAUAAGAUAUGGAAGGGUAAGGGUGGUAAAUUAAAAAGCGACACGCGAAGGUCCUAAAUAUAAAUAUUGUUUACAAUGAAUAAAAAAAGGUCAAACUUUUUUUCUCAACUUUUCUAUGAAUAUUUGUUUAUUAUUAGAGGUGAAAGACUAAGAGAUCUAAAACCUAUAUAAUCAUGUACACAACAAUAACAUCUGUUUGUUAUCUUGGAGUUUUCACUAACACUCUGUUGAUACUAUGGUUCACUGGUACUAGCAAGUGGCGCUUUAGCAUAUAUACAGGCACAAGUGAACCCUAAUCGCAGUGACCCAAUGGUCUAAUAGCUUACGCGUCCGCUCCAACAACAUCAGACAAGGAUCGUUUCCCAUCUGAUACAUACUCCAGUAGCGGAUCCUGUCAGUAUACAACGGCAAACAGCUCAUAUUCCUCUACUGACCAAGAAGAAGAAACCCCAAAAUUGACAAUGAAAGAGGUGUGAUAGAAGUAAACAUGUCUUUUCACGUUUCCGCUCCUUUGAGAUCAUUCGCUAGAUCGCAACACUAAAAAUGCAAGCCAGAUGUUGCUGCCCUCCAGCACAUCUGAAUGCGAUUUUUGCAGCGCAAUUUCUUGACGCGCUCAAACAAACACGGCGCGCAUCUCACUUUCCCUCUAGGAUUCGUAUUACUCCCUGCCAGGCGUUGCAUAAUUGCCGAGGUAAACUACCGAUAGAGAACCGGUGGCCGUAUGACUAAUGGUUUUGUUUUUCUAGUACAAAGCUGCCAUUUUACACAACUCUUAAUCAGCAGUUGAGGUGGUGAAGAGCUUUCCAAUACGCAGUUAAGUCUCGUUCCCGCCUGCAUUGACCUCUACCGUGCAAGCAAAACGGAAACGGUUAUAAAUGUGCAGUAACAACAGCAUACACAAGCACCCAUGCAUACAUACAAAAAACCCCAUCUUCAACAAUUGCAGCAUGUGAUAAAAAUAAUUGCCCGCAACAAAAAAAUACCCACCGCGGGCAAGCCAGGGGCGUCCAGGCUGAUAAGCGCGGAGUAAAAGUCACCCCAGCAAAGUUGCAAUCGCCUUCACCACCGUACAGUGUAGCUAUCGGGCUAAACCAGUCGUAACCAGCGCUCCAUCGAUGGAAUGGAUCCACCAGGGCUCGGUACGGACGUGCCAAACAACAUAAACAACUGGGCAGCAUCCACCAGCCGGCCGGUACCGCACCGACUUACCCCCCACAUGGGACUCUGCUACUUAGAACCGUACGGCGGCUACUGACGUCAAUCGGUCGGUCGGGACCCACGGUUCACCGUGUGAUAGUGGAUUGGCCCCGGCCCCAAAAGCGUGCACUGGAAACGGGGGCGGGCCAUUCCGGCUGAGGAUGGAGCAGAGCCUUCACCACUAGGUAAACGCGUGGGAAAAUCAACCAAUAAGCUGGAGGAUUCAUGCAGAGGGUCGGGAGCGGAGCGAAGGAUCGAGUUCGUUCGGGUCGAAAUAAUAAGCUGAUAGUGGUAGUGGCAGACAAGCGGACCAAGCCGUGUGGCUAGAGCGGCAACGCAAUAGAGCUCGCUCGGAGCAAUACGCUAAACGGGCCCCUGAUAAGCGCCCGCAUGGAGGUACAUCCAGCCACCAGGUGAUCCCAGGGGACAGUGGGUAAGGCAAGGAAGGUUCCUUGCCAGCUUGUUUGCAAAACCACUCCUGCUCCGGUUUUCCAACGCGUACAGAGUGGAGAAUGAUCGACACAAAACACCCGAGCUCUCGCUGCCCGAGUUCACAUUCCUUCGAUGGCCUACGCGAGGUCGUCGGUUCGCGAGUGGCGAAAGGUGAUGCAGCUGAUAUGUAGAGGCGGGUGGUGGAUGGCCACCCAAUGUCCGGCUAGUAGCGGCGGAGUGCACGAGACGCCGCCGAUGAGUCGACUACCGUUGCGCGGGGGAAAGUGGACCGCACAAUCGGUGCUGGGGCUCGAGCAGUGGUAGCAGCUUGUGAGCAGUGAUAGCACCGUCGUCGUCGUCUUGGUCGUCGUGGUUGAGCCCUACAUUGCUCCCGUCGAGGGUGAAGAUCCUUGUGCGGUGAUGAUCACGCGUUCAGCACGUUCCCGGAGCGUGCUCGAUGACACUGAGCGCAGAGACAGAGCGCUUGCUGGAGGCCCCCCAACCGACAGACCGACCGAUAGUGGAGCGUACCGUGUGGAGAUGAAUGCGAAUCUUACUACCAAAUUGUAUUCAGCUUGCGGGCAAAUUUGAGCUGGUACAGCGACGGGUGUAUGUCUGUACUUGACCCCGGACGCAAUGUUCCAAAAUAUGGAGUACAAGCGAUACGACGGGUGUUGAGAAUUGUUGUGAAAUAUAUUUUUAUUGGAAAAAUUCAA